rnacentral:lncRNA from 1 species
GCCCGGCCUCGCCAUGGUCCUCUGGUAUUGCUCGCUCUAGUAGGAUAUGGCUUGUUGUUGGUCAGUAACAUAAGUAGGCUCUGUGCAAGAGCUGCGUCGUCGCCCAUUUGCGGUUUCCGAUCGAUUCAUCCGCAGUAUUAGUAUCAUAGUAUGGGAGUAACUACUAUUUUGCAAUGCCGCUGCAUUUUUCCCGUGUUUACGGGAUCUCAUUUCCAUUGCUCACUUUUGAGGUUGGAACAUGUUGUAUUGGGGAAUAAAGGUUGGUAGAUGGUCAGUUGUCUUUAUAUUACCUUAUUCUUAUGUACGGUUGAGAGUUUAUGUUACAUACACCCACUCAAGGUUUGGUUUGCUUUUGUGAUGUCUAAGCAAGCAAGUUUGGCGAUCACUCUGUCCUAGAGGCAGAAUUCUUGUUCUCGGCAUUUUCGUAGAUUUUUCCGGUGCAGGAUUCUGUUGUAUUAGUAUGGUAACCAUUUUGCAAUGCCACGGCAUUUUCCCGCGUUUAUGGGAUCUCUUUCCCAUUGCUCGCUUUUGAGAUUGGAACAUGUUGUAUUCGGAAAUAAAGGUUGAUUGAUGUCUUCAGAUUAUCUGAUUCUUAUGUAUGGUUGAGAGUUUAUGUUACAAAUAGACCCACUCAAGGUUUGGUUGCUUUUUUGAUCUCUAGACAAGCAAGUUUGGCGAUCAUUGUCCCUAGAGGCAGAUUUCUUGUUCUCGGGAUUUUCGUAGAUUUUUCCGGUGCAGGAUUCUGUAGUAUUAGUAUGGUAAGUAUUUUGCAAUGCCACCGCAUUUUCCCACGCUUACAGGAUCUCUUUUCCAUUGCUCGCUUUUGAGAUUGGAACAUGUUGUAUUGGGGAAUAAAGGUUGAUUGAUGUCUUCAGAUUACCUGAUUCUUAUGUAUGGUUGAGAGUUUAUG